UUCCCAGAAGUUACACGACCUGCGGGUA
rnacentral:sRNA from 1 species